CUGACUUUAUUGUGAGUGAGCAAGUAUAGUUUCACACCACCGCUAGCAAUAUUCCAGCAAUAUCACGGAGGGGACACCACAAAUGGGCUUCACACAUUGAACCCAUGUGGGG